CUAUGUUCCCUUGGAGGAAGUUGAAGUUCCGGAAGCAAAUAUUCUGCUUGUAGGACAAGUUGGUGCUGGGAAAUCAAGUUUGCUGAAUACUUUCAAUUCCAUAUUUAAAGGAGAAGUGACGUCACGGACCUGGACAGGAAGUUCUGAACACAGUCUCACGGCAAGUCUCAACAAAUUUCGUAUCAGGCACCUCCCACAAAGAAGUUUUUAAACUUCAGAUUGUGCGACAUGCGAGGACUAGAAGAGAACUUAUGUAUAAAAUAUGAAGACAUGGCUUUCGUCAUGGAAGGAAAUCUACCAAACAACUACAAGUUUAACCCUGUGGCCCAGGCCUCCUUUGACACCCCUGGCUUUCAGAAGCAGCCAACGCUGAAGGAUAAAAUACCUGUAGUUGUUUUUGUGGUGGACAGAAGCAAUUUGAAGUGAUGCCGGAGGGAAUUCUAAAGAAGCUCAGGGAGACAAGAAGCAUGGCUAUAGAUAGAGGUAAAUAUAACA